rnacentral:lncRNA from 1 species
GCAACAAGAGGUUCAAGAAGAAAGAGCCAAAGCCAAGUACUGGGAGUGAGAGCGUAUUUGUAAUCCGUUUUGGAUAGGGUUAAAACUCUAGGCCUGAAGGCGAAAGCGUAUUUGUAAUCCGUUUUGUGUAAAGAUUUUUGUUUCUUAAAUAACGUUUUCUAAAAGAAACUAAAUUAGAAUCGAUAUCUUUUUGUAUUCAUGCAUUUGCAUCUCAUCGCAUCAUAUGCAUUCAAAUUUAUAGAAAGAUCCUA